AUUGGAUAUACCAAGUCAGAAAGGGUUGCAUGGGGAUGUUUCCACAAGGUGGAACUCGACUUAUCACAUGCUUGAUUCUGCCAUUGUCUAUCAGACUGCAUUUCAACAACUAGAGUUGGUGGAUAAAAAUUUUAAAGUGUGUCCAAGCAAUGAGGAUUGGAAAAAGAUUGAACACUUAUGUUCCUUUUUGAAGCCUUUUAAUGACAUUACUGAAUUAUUGUCUGGGUCAAAGUACCCAACAGCAAAUUUGUAUUUUCAUAAUGUAUGGAAAAUACAUUUGUCUUUGUUGAAAACGAUAAAUCAGGGAGAAGACUAUGUGAAAAAGAUGGCACAAGAAAUGAAAAAGAAGUUUGAUAAGUAUUGGGACUCAUAUAGCAUCAUUUUAGCUAUUGCUGUUGUAUUUGAUCUUCGUUACAAGCUAAUCUUUGUUAGGUAUGCUUUUGAUAAGAUAUACAGUUUGGAUUCAACAGCAAUGGAAAAGUUUAAUCUUGUGAAAUCGACCUUAGCACGACUCUUUGAAGAGUACCGGUGCAUGGAGAUAACUGAGGAAGAGAGGGGAUUUCAAUCACAUGCUAUUGAGGACAAUACAGUUGGAGAUGUUUUAGAUUGGGAGGAGCUAUCUAUGUAUGAGAGUUCUACUACUACUGUAAUACAAGAUAAAUCCGAAUUAGAUUUAUAUCUAAAAGAGCCAAGGAUUAAAGAUCCGAUCAAGCAUUAUGAUGUAUUGGCCUUUUGGAAGUCACAAGGAUCAAAGUAUCGUGAUCUUUCUCGGAUGGCACGGGAUGUGUUGGCUAUUCCGGUAUCAACUGUUGCUUCUGAAUCAGCUUUUAGUGCUGGAGGUAGAGUUAUUGACAAAUACAGAAGUAAGCUAUUGCCUACAAAUGCUGAAGCGUUGAUUUGCCUUCGAGAUUGGAUGUUCGGAGUAGACUUUAGAGGUAAUUUCAAACUAUGUAAAUAUACAUUUUUCAUCCGUUAAACAAAUGUUGCUUCGUCGCAUUUUUUUGGUCAUAAUCUUAAUAUCUUACAUGUCCUCUUCUUCAUUUUGUACACUUUUAAAUCUGAACCAGUUGAUGAUGCCAGUGAUUUGGCUAAUGCUUUGGGGAAUGUGUUGUCUUUGGAUGUGAGUGGUGAUACUAAUAUUACAGUAGAACCUACACAAAGAUCUUCUAAUGCCUCUACUGCAGCUAAUGUUUAGUCUGUUAGGUGAAAUUCCAUGGGUGGGAUUGAUGUUGAAGCACUCCAGAUUGGACGGAAUCAGGAUAAUUUUGAGUCAUGUAACUAAAUAUUUAACUUUGGGGAUGUUUGGAUAUGAAUUUAAGAUUUUUUGUGAUAUUUCUAAAUAUGUUAAUUGUGGAAUGUUUGGAUAAGAAUUUGGGACUUUUUAUGAUUCUAAAUAUUUUAAUUAUGA